AACGCAAGUUGCGCCCGAAGCCUUCUGGCCGAGGGCACGUCUGCCUGGGUGUCACGCAACGUCGCCGCCAACCCCACCCCUAGGGGCGGGCAGUUGGGGGCGGACUUUGGCCUCCCGUGCGCCUCGGCGCGCGGAUGGCCUAAAAGCGAGUCCUAGGCGACGAGCGCCACGACAAUCGGUGGUUACCAAACCCUCGUGUCCCGUCGUGCGUGCCUCGUCGCUCAUCUUGUGCUCUGUGACCCUGUAGCGUCGCGAUCGCGACUCUUCCAAUGCGACCCCAGGUCAGGCGGGACUACCCGCUGAAUUUAA
rnacentral:misc_RNA from 1 species